rfam:Schistocephalus solidus strain NST_G2 genome assembly, scaffold: SSLN_scaffold0013795
GGCCUCGUGGCUCAGUUGGCUAGAGCGUUGGCUGUAAUAAAACCUUGCCCUUGCUGGCGUGGGUUCGAAUCCCGCCAAGGCCG